UACGUAGGGGGCAAGCGUUGUCCGGAAUUAUUGGGCGUAAAGGGUGCGUAGGCGGCCCUGCAAGUUGGAUGUGAAAUCCCCGUGCUUAACAUGGGAAUUGCAUGCAAAACUGUGGGGCUUGAGUGUGGAAGAGGUAAGUGGAAUUCCCAGUGUAGCGGUGAAAUGCGUAGAUAUUGGGAGGAACACCAGUGGCGAAGGCGACUUACUGGGCCACAACUGACGCUGAUGCACGAAAGCGUGGGGAGCAAACAGGAUUAGAUACCCUGGUAGUCCACGCGGUAAACGAUGGAUACUAGGUGUAGGAGGUAACACCCCUCCUGUGCCGCAGCUAACGCAUUAAGUAUCCCGCCUGGGGAGUACGGUCGCAAGAUUGAA
rnacentral:rRNA from 1 species